rnacentral:lncRNA from 1 species
GGCGCAGACAUUGAAACUAGCUCACACGCAGGAAGGCCAGGGAAUGAAUGAAUUUAUUUCCAAAUAGGAAACACGUACACACACAUAUACACACAUACACACACACCCCCAGACGGGAUGGCUAGACGAGGCAGGGGAGUCGCCACGGGGAGUACUGCGCCGAGAAGCUCUGGUGGCCUCCCUUUCAGGGAGGUCGAGGCUGGCCAGCUGCUGGGCUCCGGGGGCCUCCGCUAUGUAGACAAGAAGGGUCCUCAGGUGCGGGGGGCGCUGAAUCUCAGAAGGCUCCGGGACGGCUUGGGGGCGGCCGCCCCCCCCUUCUUCCCUAUCCCCCAUUGUGUGGGGCCUGCACAUCUGGGGUGGGGUGGGGGAGGAAAGGGCACAUCUGGAAGGGAGAGCUUCCAUCUGGGAGGGGGCUGUCGGGGGGUGUCCGGUGGUGUGAUGGAGGGAGGCGUCCCACCGGCCUGGCGAGGAUCCUUCGUCAGGGGCCCGGCGGGGGCGGCGGGGGCAGCGGUCCAGGCGCACGUCCGGCGGUUCCGAGGUCCAGGACUCCAGCGGUGGCAGAGGCAGGUGGAGCUGGGGUUCGGUUCGGCCAGGCCCGGGCGCGCGCGGCCGCCUCGUCUAUCUACCCGGGGCUCGUGGUGCGGCCGCGGCGGCUCCAGCGGCGGCGGCGCCGCGCAUCCCUGCGGGGAGCCCGGACCGCUGCUCCGCACGCGCCCGCGCCCAAACCUGAUGCCGAACCCGAUGCCGAGCCGAUCCCGAGCCCGCGGCCCCGCAGCCUCCGGAGCCCGCCCCCGAGCCCCGCCCCCAGCCUGAGCCCCGCGUUCUGAGCCCGCCCCUUCGCUGAC